GUAGUCAUAUGCUUGUCUCAAAGAUUAAGCCAUGCAUGUCUAAGUAUAAACACGUUAUACUGUGAAACUGCGAAUGGCUCAUUAAAUCAGUUAUAGUUUAUUUGAUGGUUUUUGCUACAUGGAUAACUGUGGUAAUUCUAGAGCUAAUACAUGCGUACAAGCCCCGACUUCUGGAAGGGGUGUAUUUAUUAGAUAAAAAUCAACACUGUUGGUGAAUCAUGAUAACUUCUCGGAUCGCAUGGCCUCGUGCUGGCGAUACUUCAUUCAAAUAUCUGCCCUAUCAACUGUCGAUGGUAGGAUAGAGGCCUACCAUGGUUGCAACGGGUAACGGGGAAU
rnacentral:rRNA from 1 species